rnacentral:snoRNA from 1 species
AUUCCAUGAUGCGGAUAGUCUGAUAUGUAUCAUUGAAAACGCUCCCAUGCUUCUAGAAUAAGUUCACCUUUCUACUGAUGAAAUUCCAAAAUCUUCCCUCGUAAGAUA